rnacentral:rRNA from 1 species
CCCUUAGAUGUUCUGGGCCGCACGCGCGCUACACUGACGAAUGCAACGAGCUUAUAACCUUGGCCGAAAGGUCUGGGUAAUCUCCAAAUUUCGUCGUGAUGGGGAUAGAUUAUUGCAAUUAUUAAUCUUCAACGAGGAAUGCCUAGUAAGCGCAAGUCAUCAGCUUGCGUUGAUUACGUCCCUGCCCUUUGUACACACCGCCCGUCGCUCCUACCGAUUGAAUGGUCCGGUGGAGCGUUCGGACCGUGGCCUUUGGACGGUUCGCCGUCUGUUGGCUGCGGGAAGUUCGUUAAACCUUAUCAUUUAGAGGAAGGAGAANUCGUAACA